GACGAACGCUGGCGGCGUGCUUAACACAUGCAAGUCGAACGGUGAAGGGACUGGUUUUGCUGGUCCUGGAUGAGUGGCGAACGGGUGAGUAACACGUGAGUAACCUGCCCCCUUCUUCUGGAUAACCGCAUGAAAGUGUGGCUAAUACGGGAUAUUCUGGGUCUGUCGCAUGGUGGGCCUGGGAAAGAUUGCGCCUUUUUUGGUGUUUUUGGUGGGGGAUGGGCUCGCGGCCUAUCAGCUUGUUGGUGGGGUGAUGGCCUACCAAGGCGGUGACGGGUAGCCGGCCUGAGAGGGUGGACGGUCACACUGGGACUGAGACACGGCCCAGACUCCUACGGGAGGCAGCAGUGGGGAAUAUUGCACAAUGGGCGCAAGCCUGAUGCAGCGACGCCGCGUGAGGGAUGGAGGCCUUCGGGUUGCGAACCUCUUUCGCCAGUGAAGCAGGCCUGCCUCUUUUUGUGGGUGGGUUGACGGUAGCUGGAUAAGAAGCGCCGGCUAACUACGUG
rnacentral:rRNA from 1 species